rnacentral:lncRNA from 1 species
UUGGUAUAUAGUAGGCCAUGUAACUCACUAUAUUCCGGGAGUAAUAGUCGUUGGAAGCUGACCUAAGUUGAAGCGUCUACUAAAACUGAAUCGGUAAAGAAGUUGUCAAUUCAUCUUUGUGUUAGGAGGUAUCCGAAGAUGUUCCCAUGAUAUGUAAUUGCUCAACAUACCUAUAUUUAAAUAGAAAUCAUUGGGUUUUGCUCUAUUUUCGUAGGAACGACGGUUAAAUUUCUAGCUCGAAAAACGCGGGGUGUUACAACAAAGUUACCGGUUCCCCCCCUCCCCCCCUCCCCCAAGAAAAAAAUCAGACAAUAUUAUGAUGAAUUUUGGCUUUGAAAACAUAUUUGAAAAGUAAAGGUAGUAGCUAAAAAGGCCUGCUUAACAUAGGAUAAUUUGGUAUAUAAGAGGUGUACAACUCUGCACUAGAUGUCACUUAUGUGGAAGAGAGCUAGAAACUAAUAGUCACUUGAUUUUACAUUAUUCAGUGGCGGUACAACUUUAAACAAAGGGAGAAUACCCUCUGCUCCGUGGAUAUUGGGAAACCAUUAAAAAAGAAAUGCUCCCAAGCACAUCCCCUGAGGUAAACCUUUUCUACAUUUUCAACCAACAGAAGUCAACUCAGAGAGUAUAAUCCGGCAACUUUUGCUCGGAAAUCUCAGCCAAGUCAAGAUGGAAGACAACGCGAUUUAAUUUCAAAUCGUAUGAUAUUACCAGUGAAGAGUCUCGUACAGAUACUUGGUACGAGUGGACAGAACGAGACCGCAACAUCAUAAGAACUUUUUUCAGUCAGAAGAUAAUGGAAUGGCUAUACUGGUCACUGAAGGAAGCUUCCAAAGUGAAGGGGAAUUUUGUAGGAAGAUGGAAGCAUCAAAAUACUCCUCUGAGUUGUUUUGCUCAAGAAAUUUCAACAGACAUAGACGCUAUAUAAGUAUUAUAAGCAUGUAAACAAAAGAAGAUCUGUCAUUAUUAUUCCUGAACGUACGUUUAAUACAGGGUAGUUGGACAUAGCUAACAAAAUUGCAAAGUUCAUUAAUGGCUCAGCUGUAAAGCCUUUUACAAUACUCUCUAGAAAGAUAGAAGAAGCACUGCUCUACUCAGAAACUGCCAGAAGAAACAGACAAAUGGACUACAAGAGAGAUGGAAAAAGUCAUAGUACAGGAAAGAGAUGGAAUCAUCUGUAUCUCUGAAGGGGUCAGCUCUUUACAAAAUGAGCUUCUUUCGAGAAGCAUAGUCGGCAGCCUCCCUGGAGGAAUAGCAGAUACCCCUACCCUAUCAAAUAUUAGGCGCUGGGUCAGCAACACAUGGAAGCACGUGCACGGAGUAAACAUUUACGAGAUGGGGCAGAAUCGAUUUCUCUGAGUUCCCAUCAAAAACAACCAUUGAAUACAUCCUGAGGCAACUAGUUGUGAAGUUCAACUUCACAGACUCGGACUACAAUGGUGGACGCCGACAGUGGAAUCGAUCCCUCGCUCUGCAACAAUCGAACAAGUCUGAAUUAGAUUGGUCGGACUCCCCUUGCAUCUGUGGUCGCAAAAUGUAUUCAAAGCAGUAGGAGAUUACUGUGGAGGAUGGAUAAGAACUGAGGACGAGACCCAGCUGUGGAAUCACCUCAACUGGGCAAAAAUUCUGGUGAGAGGAAACGAAAACACAAUUUCGAAGACUAGGAAGCAUGGAAAGAACUUCAGACUAUCAGAUAAUAAUGAGUUCUAUCUCUAGAGAGGGUGGGGCUCGAGAGGAUAGUAUCUUGACAGGACAGGGCACAUGGGUAAUUUUCAAAUAAAUCCUAAUAGUCAAACAUGUGUCUGGCCACGUGUGAACGCCUCCCUAACUAAAAGGCCACCAGCUUCUAAACCUUUCGACCCAGAUUUCCUAGCCCAACAACUUAGGGGGAAAAUACACUUGCACUUAUUUUUUAAAGCCCAUAUUUGAUCCAUUUUUAGAGGAAAUAAAUGUUAUCUCUCAAUACACUGCCUCUCAGAAUGCAGUAGGGAGAAGCUUACUCCACUACUCCAUCUAUGGCGAAGGGAAAUUCAUCUUCAGUAACACAAAAAGACAACGAAAAAGGUUGUUAAUUUAAGUACGACAGAAGAACUCAUUGAAACAGAUCCUACUCAUUCUGAACCACUAGCCUCGAAUAACAUGCAACUCUCUAUUGUUAGAGAAAAACCUGUUGAAGAUGUUGUCCCCAUUAGCAUCCAUACUGUAGAACCCGAGCAGGAUCUAGAUUUUGACAUUCCAAUUUGGAUACACCAAAACAUCAUCAAAAUUGUCAAGCAAUUUGGUAUUGAUUUUAAGGGCUUUGAGGAGGAGGCUCAACAAUUACUCAUGAAGAUUGAUCAAAAGAAGCAAUUAAACAUGGGGAAGACCAAAAAGAUGUUGUAGUUCACGCCAAAGGUAAAAGGUGCUAUAGAACUGCAAAGUCUCGAUUUUGACCAUAAUUUCAAAAGACAUGGCACCAGGGGGGAUAUCACACCAAUAUUGAUCAAUGAAAAUUAACUUAAUCUCAUGGAACGUUAGAGAAUUGAAUGAUAAAAGGAAGAGGAGAAUGAUCAAGAGUUGUAUCAACACUUAGAAGGCAAAUAUAUAUUGUUUCUAGGAAACCAAAGUUCAAGCUGAUAUUAAUGGUUUAAUUAGAGAUCUUUGGGCCAACAAAUGGGCCGAUCACAUUCAAUUGGAGGCCAGUGUUACCAGAGGAGGAAUUCUUCUAUUGUGGGACAAAAGAAUUUGGGAUAGAGAGUGCAGUGGUGUGGUGAAUCUAGGUUGUCACUCCAUCACAUGUAAAAUCACAGCCAAGACACAGGAUCUCAUGUGGCACUUAAUAGGAGUGUAUGCACCUAAUGACAGAAAAAUUAGAAGGGAAGUCUGGUUGGAAGCUGGAGCUGCCAGAGGUCUAUUUUCAGGUCCUUGGGUAUUAUAUGGAGAUUUCAACACAGUUAGAUUCCCCUCAGAAAAAAGAAAAAUUGCAACUGAAUAAAUAAAUCAAUGACUGAUUUUUCUAAUUUUAUCAAGAUAUGGGCUUGCUAGAUUUGCAACUGGCAGGUGGGAAAUUUACUUGGAAAAAAGUGGCAAACAUGAUGUUGCUCCAAGGUUGGAUAGAUUUUUUAUUCCUGAUGAAUGGGAUGAAAGAUUCAAGAAUAUCAAACAAUCACUUCCGGAUAGAGUGACCUCUGACCACUCACCUGUAUUACUACAGUGCAGCGAUUGGGAACCGUCCAAAUCAUACAUCAAAUUUGAAAAUUGAUGGUUGCAAACGGAAGGGUUCAAAGAAAGAGUCAAGGAUUGGUGGGACUCUUUCAAUUGUGUUGGCAAACGUGUCUAUGUUUUGGCUUACAAGAUGAAAGCAUUGAAAGUCAAACUUAGAGACUGGAGCAAAACAUUACAAGGAAACUUGGAGAUGCAGAAGCUUGACACGCUCAGCAAUUAUGUGGUGUGGUGAAUCUAGGUUGUCACUCCAUCACAUGUAAAAUCACAGCCAAGACACAGGAUCUCAUGUGGCACUUAACAGGAGUGUAUGCACCUAAUGACAGAAAAAUUAGAGGGGAAGUCUGGUUGGAAGCUGGAGCUGCCAGAGGUCUAUUUUCAGGUCCUUGGGUAUUAUAUGGAGAUUUCAACACAGUUAGAUUCCCCUCAGAAAAGAAAAAUUGCAACUGAAUCAAUAAAUCAAUGACUGAUUUUUCUAAUUUUAUUCAAGAUAUGGGCUUGCUAGAUUUGCAACUGGCAGGUGGGAAAUUUACUUUGAAAAAAGUGGCAAACAUGAUGUUGCUGCAAGGUUGGAUAGAUUUUUGAUUCCUGAUGAAUGGGAUGAAAGAUUCAAGAAUAUCAAACAAUCACUUCCGGAUAGAGUGACCUCUGAGCACUCACCUGUAUUACUACAGUGCAGCGAUUGGGAACCGUCCAAAUCAUACAUCAAAUUUGAAAAUUGAUGGUUGCAAACGGAAGGGUUCAAAGAAAGAGUCGAGGAUUGGUGGGACUCUUUCAAUUGUGUUGGCAAACGUGUCUAUGUUUUGGCUUACAAGAUGAAGGUAUUGAAAGUCAAACUUAGAGACUGGAGCAAAACAUUACAAGGAAACUUGGAGAUGCAGAAGCUUGACACGCUCAGCAAUUAUGUGGUGUGGUGAAUCUAGGUUGUCACUCCAUCACAUGUAAAAUCACAGCCAAGACACAGGAUCUCAUGUGGCACUUAACAGGAGUGUAUGCACCUAAUGACAGAAAAAUUAGAGGGGAAGUCUGGUUGGAAGCUGGAGCUGCCAGAGGUCUAUUUUCAGGUCCUUGGGUAUUAUAUGGAGAUUUCAACACAGUUAGAUUCCCCUCAGAAAAGAAAAAUUGCAACUGAAUCAAUAAAUCAAUGACUGAUUUUUCUAAUUUUAUUCAAGAUAUGGGCUUGCUAGAUUUGCAACUGGCAGGUGGGAAAUUUACUUUGAAAAAAGUGGCAAACAUGAUGUUGCUGCAAGGUUGGAUAGAUUUUUGAUUCCUGAUGAAUGGGAUGAAAGAUUCAAGAAUAUCAAACAAUCACUUCCGGAUAGAGUGACCUCUGACCACUCACCUGUACUACUACAGUGCAGCGAUUGGGAACCGUCCAAAUCAUACAUCAAAUUUGAAAAUUGAUGGUUGCAAACGGAAGGAUUCAAAGAAAGAGUCAAGGAUUGGUGGGACUCUUUCAAUUGUGUUGGCAAACGUGUCUAUGUUUUGGCUUACAAGAUGAAGGUAUUGAAAGUCAAACUUAGAGACUGGAGCAAAACAUUACAAGGAAACUUGGAGAUGCAGAAGCUUGACACGCUCAGCAAUUAUGUGGUGUGGUGAAUCUAGGUUGUCACUCUAUCACAUGUA